CACACUAAUAGUUGUCAAAAAAUUUGACGCUUGAAAAUUCGGUAUAAUACUUUUUCUCGCACGACUCCGUCGAAUUGGUAAGGAAAUACGACUGACUGCAAGAAUUCAUUUGUUCAGCGAUGUUACGCUGAAAAAGGUUACUUCAGGUGACAGUGAGGACCCUCUACAAGCCAUAAAGAGUCAAAGAAGUCUUUGGACAGCGCCUUUAACCGAUAGAAGGAGCAGCAAUAAAAAAAGCCUUACAAACAGACAACUCCUCUUAACGUAUUUUGUCCUGUACCCCCAUUGUAGAACCGUUGCCCGACAAGUUUUGUCUUUAUAGUGUCGUUUUGAAUGUUGGCAUCCAGGGAAUGUCUGGAUAUUUGAAAGCACUUCAAAAACUUAAGGAGGGCUUGGUGCCGCCGUCGGAAGCAUGUUGUAUCAAAGGUCAGAAGAAAUCAGAAUUGUUACCUUAAA